GGCGGGGUAGCUCAGAUGGUUAGAGCGUUGGAUUCAUAACCCAAAGGUCGGCAGUUCGAUUCUGCUCCCCGCUA
rfam:Sphingobacterium sp. CZ-TAM QB.A_3, whole genome shotgun sequence.